GGGGAUUUAGCUCAGCGGCAUAAGCGCCUGCCUUGCAAGCAGGCAGUUGUGAGAUCGAUCCCCA
rfam:Cavia porcellus supercont2_72 genomic scaffold, whole genome shotgun sequence.